rnacentral:lncRNA from 1 species
AUGCUUCCAACGGUAUUGCAACUCCAAUAACGGUAAAUUGUAUCUAUUUGCCAUGAAAUACCUCUUCCAAAAACUAGUUGGACCCCUGGACCAAUAUAAUCUUCUUGUGAAUUAAUUCACAGCCUUGAAAGUUUGCCUCUCAUGAAAACAAUUGAUCCCUUCAAGUCCAUGGGCUUACGAGAUGGCCUGCUACUUGUUGUAUAGAUCCGAAUGCACACCAACUUUACAAAAACAGCGUUGCAAGUGUUUCAGAUCAUAAGUAAUUC